rnacentral:lncRNA from 1 species
AUGGACACAGCAACUGAAGACAAGUGGAAACAAACCACUGGUAAGCUAUUUAAGUGUGUGUUCCUCUGGAAAGGAAACAGUAACGUUUUCAAGAGAGCCAGGAAUAUUGACACAUGUCUCUCUGAAAUCCCAGCAGUUUGAGGUUGAGACAGGAGGAUUGCCAUGUGUUCCACAGCAGCUUAGGUUCCAUAGUGAGUUCUAAGCAAGCCUGCACUAUAGAGUAGGAAACAUAUCCAAUAAGUGGAUUGGGUAUAGUGGCAGGCACCUGUAACCCAAGCAUCCUGGAGGUAGAGGCAGGGUGAUCAUGAAUUUGGUCUAGAUAGAGAGUCCUGUCUCAAAGACAAAGAAGCAGCCCUCUUCCUGCUUCACUAGUCUGCCCAUUUCACCAGCACUGUGGUCAGCUGUGCUUCAGCAUCCAGACACCCCAAGAGAAGACUGGGACACCCCAAGGGAAGACUGGGAUACGCCCCAGGGAAGACUUGGAGCCCAGACCUCGGCUCUGCUC